rnacentral:tRNA from 2 species
GCCGGGGUGGCCGAGUGGACUAAGGCGCAGGCCUGGAGAGCCUGUGGGCCAAACGGCCCUCGUGGGUUCAAAUCCCACCCCCGGCG